AUUGUAUAUUAAUAAUAAUAGUAAUCAUUUUAAUAUUAUAAAACUAUACAAAUUGUUUAAAAGUAAAGUUACAAAAACAUCAACAAUUUUGGAAGACUUUCUAGCCAACCUUCACGUGGUGUCUCCUGGGUAACUUUUAUAGCCUAGACUAAUGUUUUCAAUAUAAAUAAUAAUAAAAUAAAUAUGCCGGGACACAAUUCAUGCCGUUUGGACCCAACUCGAGGUCAACCAACAUUUCAUAUAAUUAAUUGAAGGGAAAAAACCGGAAAAGUCACUUUUUUUCCAAUAUGGCGAUAUCGGUAUCAAAUAAUUUGUACUGAUGUGCCGUAUUUUUUAUGCGAUAGAAACUGCGAAAAAAACCAGAAUAGUCAAAAGUAAUGAAUGCCAGAAGUUUAGGCCUACAGGAAAAAAAAACAGGUAUAUUCAAUAAAUUGAUAACCAGAUAAGUGGUUGGGUAACAACAGCCGUGGUUAAUAAUGUAAUAUGACAUUAUUAUGUUAUGGUUACUACAUCUCAAAGUAUAACAUUAAACUUAAUCAAAAUGUAAGUUGUAAAAAUUUAUAAAAAAAAAAAAAAAUUGUUAAGUUUUGAAACAACACUUUUUUCUUAGUUUAAACAAAACGGGGUCAUUUUUGGUAUUUUUUUUCUGUAGACUUCAAUUGUUGUACGGGUGGUAUUCGACAGAUCGAGGAAAUCGUUUAAAAAACGGGGGAACUUUUUUUAGAAUUUCUAACGAAAUGUCGGUAAAUUUAUUAUACGGAGGCAAAUCAACGUGUGAUUAAGGGGAGAAAAAAAAUUAUCGCCACCUUCCCCGGAACGUUUUUAGUUAUUAUAUAGCCCAGUAGUCCACUGAUUCGACAAGGAAUUUUCAAUAUCAAUCAGUGUAGUCCUACUGUACUAUAAUAAUUAUAGUAUUAAAAAUACGAAAGUCUGUAUGUUUGAAACGGCCGAACGGAUUUGGAUCAAAUUCGACACACGGAUAGAACGCGGUCUGGAUUAAUACACGAGGGACUAUUUUUCGACCCCGGAAUUCGGUCCCUAAAGGUCGGCUGAUACGGUUUUUUUUUUAUUUUUGGUAAUUUCGAAACGAUAAUCGAAUUUUUUUUGUUAGUUUAUGGGUUACUUUGGCGACACGAAUGAAAAAAAAAAACAAUUAUUAUUCAUUAAUUUGGUUAUCGCGGGCAAAGAAGUACCCUUUAAAAAUAAAUAAAUUACCGGACAACAACGGUCAUCUCGGUGGCGUACAGACGGGGUGGUAUGACGGGAAACGAGCCACGGGCCCGUAACAUUCGUCAUUGGCCUGUAUUCCUGUGUAUUUAUUAAUUAUCGUUCGUAAUAUUUUAUAUUCUAAACUUUACUGUAUUAUUAUACUUGUUUGUUUUGUACUCUGUUAAUUUAUUUUUAUGGAAGUGUAAAGUAUUGUUUCCGUAAAUAAAGAUAUAAUUUUAAUUACAAUUUAGAGGCCCCGAGGCAUUGUUUUUGCGUGUACGGACAGGUGAAUACAAAACAGAUGCACGCCUUUUUUUUUAGUCAUUGAGCAAUAUGGGCGGACGGACCAAAGGUGUUUGAAAACGGGCAAUAAUCUUGUUUUUUCGCUCCAAUUUUGUAUAAAUCGGGCUCCAACUCGGAUUGCGCACUUGGGUCCAAUAGUCCCCGAUCCGCGGGCGACUCAGAACGGCGGCAUGCCGAACGUGUUUUCAUACCUAAGGCGAAACAAACAACAAAUCAAGACCCAAAUCAUGGAUUCGUGUACCGCCAUGUCCUAUAAAUAAUAAUUCGUUCGCGGCGAAAACCGCACAUUCAGCUGCAAUGACUACGUAAUAG
rnacentral:lncRNA from 1 species